AGUGAACGCUGGCGGUAGGCCUAACACAUGCAAGUCGAACGGCAGCACAGUAAGAGCUUGCUCUUACGGGUGGCGAGUGGCGGACGGGUGAGGAAUACAUCGGAAUCUACUUUUUCGUGGGGGAUAACGUAGGGAAACUUACGCUAAUACCGCAUACGACCUACGGGUGAAAGCAGGGGAUCUUCGGACCUUGCGCGAUUGAAUGAGCCGAUGUCGGAUUAGCUAGUUGGCGGGGGAAAGGCCCACCAAGGCGACGAUCCGUAGCUGGUCUGAGAGGUUGAUCAGCCACACUGGAACUGAGACACGGUCCAGACUCCUACGGGAGGCAGCAGUGGGGAAUAUUGGACAAUGGGCGCAAGCCUGAUCCAGCCAUACCGCGUGGGUGAAGAAGGCCUUCGGGUUGUAAAGCCCUUUUGUUGGGAAAGAAAAGCAGCAGGUUAAUACCCCGCUGUUCUGACGGUACCCAAAGAAUAAGCACCGGCUAACUUCGUG
rnacentral:rRNA from 1 species